rnacentral:tRNA from 1 species
GCGUCCAUUGUCUAAUGGAUAGGACAUAGGUCUUCUAAACCUGUGGUAUAGGUUCAAAUCCUAUUGGACGCA